rnacentral:tRNA from 1 species
AGAUUUGUGGCUCAGUGGUAGAGCACUUGCCUAGCAUGUGUGAGGCCCUGGGUUCAAUCCUCAGCACUG